rnacentral:rRNA from 1 species
UACGGAGAGGACUAGAGUUGUUCGGAAUUACUGGGCGUAAAGCGCGCGUAGGCGGAUUUGCAAGUCGGGGGUGAAAUCCCGAGGCUCAACCUCGGAACUGCCUUCGAUACUGCAAAUCUCGAGUCCGGAAGAGGUGAGUGGAAUUCCUAGUGUAGAGGUGAAAUUCGUAGAUAUUAGGAAGAACACCAGUGGCGAAGGUGGCUCACUGGUCCGGUACUGACGAUGAGGCGCGAAAGCGUGGGGAGCAAACAGG